UACAGAGACUGCGAGCGUUAUUCGGAUUCACUGGGCGUAAAGGGUGCGCAGGCGGCCGUGUGUGUGAGGCGUGAAAGCCCGGGGCUUAACCCCGGAAUUGCACCUCAAACUACACGGCUAGAGCAUUGGAGAGGGUAGCGGAAUUCACGGUGUAGCAGUGAAAUGCGUAGAUAUCGUGAGGAACACCAGAGGCGAAGGCGGCUACCUGGACAAUUGCUGACGCUCAGGCACGAAAGCGUGGGGAGCAAGAGGG
rnacentral:rRNA from 1 species